AAUGAACGCUGGCGGCAUGCCUAACACAUGCAAGUCGAACGAAGGCUUCGGCCUUAGUGGCGCACGGGUGCGUAACGCGUGGGAAUCUGCCCUUGGGUUCGGAAUAACAGUUAGAAAUGACUGCUAAUACCGGAUGAUGUCGUAAGACCAAAGAUUUAUCGCCCAAGGAUGAGCCCGCGUAGGAUUAGCUGGUUGGUGGGGUAAAGGCCUACCAAGGCGACGAUCCUUAGCUGGUCUGAGAGGAUGAUCAGCCACACUGGGACUGAGACACGGCCCAGACUCCUACGGGAGGCAGCAGUGGGGAAUAUUGGACAAUGGGCGAAAGCCUGAUCCAGCAAUGCCGCGUGAGUGAUGAAGGCCUUAGGGUUGUAAAGCUCUUUUACCCGGGAUGAUAAUGACAGUACCGGGAGAAUAAGCUCCGGCUAACUUCGUG
rnacentral:rRNA from 1 species